rnacentral:rRNA from 1 species
ACUCCUACGGGAGGCAGCAGUGGGGAAUAUUGGACAAUGGGCGCAAGCCUGAUCCAGCCAUGCCGCGUGAGUGAUGAAGGCCCUAGGGUUGUAAAGCUCUUUCACCGGUGAAGAUAAUGACGGUAACCGGAGAAGAAGCCCCGGCUAACUUCGUGCCAGCAGCCGCGGUAAUACGAAGGGGGCUAGCGUUGUUCGGAUUUACUGGGCGUAAAGCGCACGUAGGCGGACUAUUAAGUCAGGGGUGGAAUCCCGGGGCUCAACCCCGGAACUGCCUUUGAUACUGGUAGUCUUGAGUUCGAGAGAGGUGAGUGGAAUUCCGAGUGUAGAGGUGAAAUUCGUAGAUAUUCGGAGGAACACCAGUGGCGAAGGCGGCUCACUGGCUCGAUACUGACGCUGAGGUGCGAAAGCGUGGGGAGCAAACAGGAUUAGAAACCCCGGUAGUCCCA